UACGGAGGGGACUAGCGUUGUUCGGAAUUACUGGGCGUAAAGCGCACGUAGGCGGAUUUGUAAGUCAGGGGUGAAAUCCCGAGGCUCAACCUCGGAACUGCCUUUGAUACUGCAAAUCUCGAGUCCGGAAGAGGUGAGUGGAAUUCCUAGUGUAGAGGUGAAAUUCGUAGAUAUUAGGAAGAACACCAGUGGCGAAGGCGGCUCACUGGACUGGUAUUGACGCUGAGGUGCGAAAGCGUGGGGAGCAAACAGG
rnacentral:rRNA from 1 species